CAUGACUCUCCUUAGCCAUGGUAGAGUUACUCAUGAGCACUGGGGAAAGAAUAUACCUCUAUAUUUAGAGUAGAUUGGUCUGAGCCAAAUAUAAGAGAGAAUGUGGGAAAGGAUGUGAAGAGGGAGAAAAAUAUAGUUGUUAAUAUUUGGUUUGUUCAUUUCUAGAGAGACAGUUUGGUAAAUACAAUGCCCACAUUUGUAAUAGCUCUGUUUGUAAUUAUACAUAGGGGUGUGUUGAAAAGGAAUCAACCUAAGAGCUGAAGGAAGCUGAAAACUGGCUGAUUUUUCAUGUGGGGCAUUUUCUGACUUUGCUGAAUGUCUUCUUGCUGAAGAAAUGUCUGGCAGCAAAAAAAGCAUCAGCACCUAUAUGUAAAGAUCACUUUAAUCUGAGUUUGCUACUGGAUAUAAACACAGCGACUGAAUGAGCUUUCAGAGGAAUUACCUUUUGCUACUUGCAAAUGAGAAAGGAAGAAAGGAUAAGUUGUGUGUGUGUUAAACCAAAUAAGAAGAAUCCAGGAUCACAACUUAUAAAUUUGGGAGAUGAGGAAACUGAAGCAAACAGGAGUAAAUGACUUACACAGGAUCACCACCAAACCAUAUUAUUUCAUCAUAUUCAUUUACCAUGACUUCAGCCAUUCCUCAACUGCUGGGCAUCCUCUUACUUUUUAGGUUUUGCCACUACAAAAAAGAGCUGGUAUAAAUAUAUAUUUUUUUGCCUAAAUCUUUUUUACAGUAUGUCCUUGUAAAUGACCUUCAGAGAAAUACACACAGGAAAUAGAUGAAUGAAAAUGGCCUGUUGAACGGGAGCAUACAAGUUGUGAGAUUUGAUUAAAAGAUCCUGAUCACAUUUCUCAAACUGAUGGAAAAUCUGACAUCUCCCACAAAGGGGGCAGAGUUGCCAGGAAUAAUAAACUGGAAGAAUUCCAUGGAGACUGGAACAACCUCCAGGAAGUGAUGCAGACGAAAGGAGCAGAACCAGGAAAACAUUGUAUACAGAGACUGACACACUGUAGUACAAUCGAAUGUAAUGGACUUCUCCAUUAGUGGCAAUGCAAUGUCCCUGAACAAUCUGCAGGGAUCUAGGAGAAAAAACACUAGCCACAAGCAGAGGACAAACUGUGGGAGUAAAAACAUGGAAGAAAAGCAACUGCUUGACUACAAGGGUUGAGGGGACAUGUCUGAGGAGAGACUCUAAAUGAACACUAAUGCAAAUACCAACAACAUGGAAAUGGGUUUGAAUCAAGAAUACAUGUGAUACCCAGUGGAAUCACGCAUCAGCUAUGGGAUGGGGGGGUGUGGGGAGGAAGAAAAUGAUCUUUGUUUCCAAUGAAUAAUGCUCGGAAAUGACCAAAUAAAAUAAUGUUAUUUUAAAAAA